UAGGGAAUCUUCGGCAAUGGACGAAAGUCUGACCGAGCAACGCCGCGUGAGUGAAGAAGGUUUUCGGAUCGUAAAACUCUGUUGUUAGAGAAGAACAAGGACGUUAGUAACUGAACGUCCCCUGACGGUAUCUAACCAGAAAGCCACGGCUAACUACGUGCCAGCAGCCGCGGUAAUACGUAGGUGGCAAGCGUUGUCCGGAUUUAUUGGGCGUAAAGCGAGCGCAGGCGGUUUCUUAAGUCUGAUGUGAAAGCCCCCGGCUCAACCGGGGAGGGUCAUUGGAAACUGGGAGACUUGAGUGCAGAAGAGGAGAGUGAAAUUCCAUGUGUAGCGGUGAAAUGCGUAGAUAUAUGGAGGAACACCAGUGGCGAAGGCGGCUCUCUGGUCUGUAACUGACGCUGAGGCUCGAAAGCGUGGGGAGCAAACAGG
rnacentral:rRNA from 1 species